GACGAACGCUGGCGGCGUGCCUAAUACAUGCCAGUUGAGCGCUGAAGGUUGGUACUUGUACCAACUGGAUGAGCAGCGAACGGGUGAGUAACGCGUGGGGAAUCUGCCUUUGAGCGGGGGACAACAUUUGGAAACGAAUGCUAAUACCGCAUAAAAACUUUAAACACAAGUUUUAAGUUUGAAAGAUGCAAUUGCAUCACUCAAAGAUGAUCCCGCGUUGUAUUAGCUAGUUGGUGAGGUAAAGGCUCACCAAGGCGAUGAUACAUAGCCGACCUGAGAGGGUGGUCGGCCAAGUUGGGACUGAGACACGGCCCAAACUCCUACGGGAGGCAGCAGUAGGGAAUCUUCGGCAAUGGACGAAAGUCUGACCGAGCAACGCCGCGUGAGUGAAGAAGGUUUUCGGAUCGUAAAACUCUGUUGGUAGAGAAGAACGUUGGUGAGAGUGGAAAGCUCAUCAAGUGACGGUAACUACCCAGAAAGGGACGGCUAACUACGUG
rnacentral:rRNA from 1 species